rnacentral:snRNA from 1 species
AUCGCUUCUUGACCUUUUGGCUAAGAUCAAAUGUAUCUGUUCUUAUCAGUUUAAUGUCUGAUAUGUCCUCUAUCCAAGGACAAUAUAUUUAAAAAAACAACAACAUUAAGUCUAGUAUGAAUUCAAUUUUUAAAAUUACCACUGUAUAAUACAUACUAGUGUGUAGCAUUGCCUCAUUUAGCAUGAGAAAUUAG